UACGGAGGGUGCGAGCGUUAAUCGGAAUUACUGGGCGUAAAGCGCACGUAGGCGGUCGUUCAAGUCCGUUGUGAAAGCCCCGGGCUCAACCUGGGAAUGGCAAGGGCGACUGAGCGACUGGAGUGUAACAGAGGACCGUGGAAUUCCCGGUGUAGCGGUGAAAUGCGUAGAGAUCGGGAAGAACACCGAUGGCGAAGGCAGCGGUCUGGGUUAACACUGACGCUGAGGUGCGACAGCGUGGGGAGCAAACAGG
rnacentral:rRNA from 1 species